rnacentral:rRNA from 1 species
UGUUGCCUACGGGGCGCAGCAGUGGGGGAUAUUGCACAAUGGGGGAAACCCUGAUGCAGCGACGCCGCGUGAGUGAAGAAGUAUUUCGGUACGUAAAGCUCUAUCAGCAGGGAAGAAUAAUGACGGUACCUGACUAAGAAGCCCCGGCUAACUACGUGCCAGCAGCCGCGGUAAUACGUAGGGGGCAAGCGUUAUCCGGAUUUACUGGGUGUAAAGGGAGCGUAGACGGCCAGACAAGUCAGUAGUGAAAGCCCAGGGCUCAACCAUGGGCCGGCUUUUGAAACUGCCGGCCUGUGGUGCAGGGG